rnacentral:rRNA from 1 species
GGUUAAGUGACUAAGCGUACACGGUGGAUGCCUUGGCAGUCAGAGGCGAUGAAAGACGUAGUAACUUGCGAUAAGCCCAGAUUAGGUAGUAACAACCAUUUGAGUCUGGGAUUUCUGAAUGGGGAAACCCACGUGCAUAAGCACGUAUCCUUACCUGAAUACAUAGGGUAAGGAGGCGAACCGGGGGAACUGAAACAUCUAAGUACCCCGAGGAAAAGAAAUCAACCGAGAUUCCGAAAGUAGCGGCGAGCGAAAUUGGACUAGCCCUUAAGCUUUACACGCGUUAGACGAACGGUCUGGAAAGUCCGACGAUACAGGGUGAUAGUCCCGUAGUUGACGACGUGUGUUCAGUGAAAUCGAGUAGGGCGGGACACGUGAUAUCCUGUCUGAAUAUGGGGGGACCAUCCUCCAAGGCUAAAUACUACUGACUGACCGAUAGUGAACCAGUACCGUGAGGGAAAGGCGAAAAGAACCCCUGUGAGGGGAGUGAAAUAGAACCUGAAACCGUGUACGUACAAGCAGUAGGAGCAGGCUUUGUCCUGUGACUGCGUACCUUUUGUAUAAUGGGUCAGCGACUUAUAUUCAGUGGCAAGGUUAACCAUCUAGGGGAGCCGUAGGGAAACCGAGUCUUAACUGGGCGUUCAGUCUCUGGAUAUAGACCCGAAACCAGGUGAUCUAGCCAUGGGCAGGUUGAAGGUUGAGUAACAUCAACUGGAGGACCGAACCGACUAAUGUUGAAAAAUUAGCGGAUGACUUGUGGCUAGGGGUGAAAGGCCAAUCAAACCUGGAGAUAGCUGGUUCUCCCCGAAAGCUAUUUAGGUAGCGCCUCGGACGAAUACUACUGGGGGUAGAGCACUGUUAAGGCUAGGGGGUCAUCCCGACUUACCAACCCUUUGCAAACUCCGAAUACCAGUAAGUACUAUCCGGGAGACACACGGCGGGUGCUAACGUCCGUCGUGGAGAGGGAAACAACCCAGACCGCCAGCUAAGGUCCCAAAUUACUACUAAGUGGGAAACGAUGUGGGAAGGCUCAGACAGCCAGGAUGUUGGCUUAGAAGCAGCCAUCAUUUAAAGAAAGCGUAAUAGCUCACUGGUCGAGUCGGCCUGCGCGGAAGAUGUAACGGGGCUAAGUAGUAAACCGAAGCUGCGGCAAUGUGCUUUUGCACAUUGGGUAGGGGAGCGUUCUGUAAGCGGUUGAAGGUGUGUGGUAACGCAUGCUGGACGUAUCAGAAGUGCGAAUGCUGACAUGAGUAACGAUAAAGGGGGUGAAAAACCUCCUCGCCGGAAGACCAAGGGUUCCUGUCCAACGUUAAUCGGGGCAGGGUAAGUCGACCCCUAAGGCGAGGCCGAAAGGCGUAGUCGAUGGGAAACGGGUUAAUAUUCCCGUACUUCUUACAAUUGCGAUGGGGGGACGGAGAAGGCUAGGUGGGCCUGGCGACGGUUGUCCAGGUUCAAGUGCGUAGGCUUAAGAGUUAGGUAAAUCCGGCUCUUUUUAAGGCUGAGACACGACGUCGAGCACCUAUGGGUGUGAAGUCAUUGAUGCCAUGCUUCCAGGAAAAGCCUCUAAGCUUCAGAUUGUAAGGAAUCGUACCCCAAACCGACACAGGUGGUCGGGUAGAGAAUACCAAGGCGCUUGAGAGAACUCGGGUGAAGGAACUAGGCAAAAUGGUACCGUAACUUCGGGAGAAGGUACGCUCUCGACGGUGAAGUCCCUUGCGGAUGGAGCUAUUGAGAGUCGCAGAUACCAGGUGGCUGCAACUGUUUAUUAAAAACACAGCACUGUGCAAAAUCGUAAGAUGACGUAUACGGUGUGACGCCUGCCCGGUGCCGGAAGGUUAAUUGAUGGGGUUAGACUUCGGUCGAAGCUCUUGAUCGAAGCCCCGGUAAACGGCGGCCGUAACUAUAACGGUCCUAAGGUAGCGAAAUUCCUUGUCGGGUAAGUUCCGACCUGCACGAAUGGCGUAAUGAUGGCCACGCUGUCUCCACCCGAGACUCAGUGAAAUUGAAAUCGCUGUGAAGAUGCAGUGUACCCGCGGCUAGACGGAAAGACCCCGUGAACCUUUACUACAGCUUGGCACUGAACAUUGACCCUACAUGUGUAGGAUAGGUGGGAGGCUUUGAAGCACGUACGCCAGUAUGUGUGGAGCCGUCCUUGAAAUACCACCCUUGUAGUGUUGAUGUUCUAACGUCGACCCCUAAUCGGGGUUGCGGACAGUGCCUGGUGGGUAGUUUGACUGGGGCGGUCUCCUCCCAAAGAGUAACGGAGGAGCACGAAGGUGGGCUAAUCACGGUUGGACAUCGUGAGGUUAGUGCAAUGGCAUAAGCCCGCUUGACUGCGAGAAUGACAAUUCGAGCAGGUGCGAAAGCAGGUCAUAGUGAUCCGGUGGUUCUGAAUGGAAGGGCCAUCGCUCAACGGAUAAAAGGUACUCCGGGGAUAACAGGCUGAUACCGCCCAAGAGUUCAUAUCGACGGCGGUGUUUGGCACCUCGAUGUCGGCUCAUCACAUCCUGGGGCUGAAGUCGGUCCCAAGGGUAUGGCUGUUCGCCAUUUAAAGUGGUACGCGAGCUGGGUUUAGAACGUCGUGAGACAGUUCGGUCCCUAUCUGCCGUGGGCGUUGGAAGAUUGAAGGGGGCUGCUCCUAGUACGAGAGGACCGGAGUGGACGAACCUCUGGUGUUCGGGUUGUGUCGCCAGACGCAUUGCCCGGUAGCUAAGUUCGGAAUCGAUAACCGCUGAAAGCAUCUAAGCGGGAAGCGAGCCCUGAGAUGAGUCUUCCCUGAUACUUUAAGUAUCCUAAAGGGUUGUCGGAGACUACGACGUUGAUAGGUCAGGUGUGUAAGUGCUGUGAGGCAUUGAGCUAACUGAUACUAAUUGCCCGUGAGGCUUAACCAU